UGCAGCAGCAACUAUCAUGAAUAGACCUCUGUGUCACACACAAUAACUGCUGAAUACAGACGGAUAAUAUAUAUUAUAUCAGUGGAUAUGAAUGAUUAAUAUGACCCCGGUUUGAAUAGAGCAGAGUGAAAAGACUCCUGUCAUGUUCUCUUCUCUGCUUCACUUCAAACUGCAGAGAAGCUCAAACAAGAGAAGCUUUGAGCUGUUGUUGUAUUUCAUUGCGAGUAUGUGUGUGGCAGAUAACAGCAUGUCAUGGAGGGAGAUCAGAGCUGCGACAGACCGAUGGCACUCUGUCAGGGACGACUGGAGGACGCUGCUCUCAUUGUGAUGAUACGAGAGGUGCAUCAGGACAGCUGCUCAGCUGAUUGGGCUCCCGAGCGAUGGAUUGAAAGGUUGGAUUUCAGCAUGGCUCCUUUACCUCGCUCUCCAUUGCAGUUUUUUCCCAACAAUGUAUUUCCUCAAGAGGUCCUUGACCUGCUCUUCACUGUCAGAGUCCCUACUUCCCACAGUUCCCCCAAUAAGUUCAUCACUCCAACUAUUUUCGACUCAUCUA